rnacentral:lncRNA from 1 species
GGGAUUAGACACGAGCCCUUAAGACUCUUCAGUCAUGGAAACUAAUGUGCCUGUCAGGACCAGCAUAGAGAAAGGCCAGCUCUGGUGUCCAGUAACAUCUCACUGCCCUCCCGGAUGCUCAGACAUCAGAAUGGGGCCCCAGGAGCAGCCUGAGAUGGCUUUUUCCAUUCUCCUUGGUCAGAGACUUCCCUUUACUAAAUACACCAAACUUGUUGACUUUGUGAGCAAAUUCAGCCUGGACCCUUCCUGUCUCAUGUUUAUAAACGAGCACAGUUCUGCACAAAGGGCUCUUUGAUGCCCUGCAGCCCACAACCACUUCCCUGCACCCCUUAGCUUCUCUUGCUGCACCCUGCCUCCCCCAGGCCCCCUCACCGGAAGGCUCCGCUGUAGUCAUAGUAUCUCUCUAGGGGACUCUUGUCACACACAUUGUGCCCAGAAGAGUCACCACGGCAGAGGCGACAGAGGGACUCGGAAUGGCUGGUUUCUCCCGCUCCAGGGACACAGCUGCCCCCAAAAUAAUCGCCAACGGCUGUGGAAGGAGCAAAGAGAGGUCACUGACCCCACCCUGGAGAGUCAAGAACGGCAUGAGCCCAGUCACCAACUUUCAGAGUCAAGUGAAGAAACUGGGAGACUGGGUCACAUCAGUGUUCCCAGACUGGGACCUGGGUGGGGCCGUUGCUGUGGCUGAGAAAUAAAAGAGUUUUCUCUAAAUGUCUUCACAGGA